rnacentral:rRNA from 1 species
CCAAUAGCGUAUAUUAAAGUUGUUGCAGUUAAAAAGCUCGUAGUUGAAUUUCGGGGUCAGUAGAUUGGUCAUGCCACUGGUAUGUACUGGUCUUACUGAUUCCUCCUUCCUGAUGAGCCGUAAUGCCAUUAAUUUGGUGUUGCGAGGAAUCUGGACUGUUACUUUGAAAAAAUUAGAGUGUUUAAAGCAGGCUAACGCUU